UACGGAGGAUGCGAGCGUUAUCCGGAUUUAUUGGGUUUAAAGGGUGCGUAGGCGGAUCGUUAAGUCAGUGGUCAAAUCGAGGGGCUCAACCCCUUCCCGCCAUUGAAACUGGCGAUCUUGAGUGGAAGAGAAGUAUGCGGAAUGCGUGGUGUAGCGGUGAAGUGCAUAGAUAUCACGCAGAACCCCGAUUGCGAAGGCAGCAUGCCGGCUUCCUACUGACGCUGAAGCACGAAAGCGUGGGGAUCGAACAGG
rnacentral:rRNA from 1 species